rnacentral:rRNA from 1 species
UACGGAGGGGACUAGCGUUGUUCGGAAUUACUGGGCGUAAAGCGUACGUAGGCGGCUUUGUAAGUUAGAGGUGAAAGCCCGGGGCUCAACUCCGGAAUUGCCUUUAAGACUGCAUCGCUUGAAUCAUGGAGAGGUGAGUGGAAUUCCGAGUGUAGAGGUGAAAUUCGUAGAUAUUCGCAAGAACACCAGUGGCGAAGGCGGCUCACUGGCCCGGUACUGACGCUGAGGUGCGAAAGCGUGGGGAGCAAACAGG